GAUGAACGCUGGCGGCGUGCCUAAUACAUGCAAGUCGAGCGAACGGACGAGGAGCUUGCUCCUUUGAUGUUAGCGGCGGACGGGUGAGUAACACGUGGAUAACCUACCUAUAAGACUGGGAUAACUUCGGGAAACCGGAGCUAAUACCGGAUAAUAUUUUGAACCGCAUGGUUCAACAGCGAAAGACGGUCUUGCUGUCACUUAUAGAUGGAUCCGCGCCGCAUUAGCUAGUUGGUAAGGUAACGGCUUACCAAGGCAACGAUGCGUAGCCGACCUGAGAGGGUGAUCGGCCACACUGGAACUGAGACACGGUCCAGACUCCUACGGGAGGCAGCAGUAGGGAAUCUUCCGCAAUGGGCGAAAGCCUGACGGAGCAACGCCGCGUGAGUGAAGAAGGUCUUCGGAUCGUAAAACUCUGUUAUUAGGGAAGAACAAAUGUGUAAGUAACUAUGCACGUCUUGACGGUACCUAAUCAGAAAGCCACGGCUAACUACGUG
rnacentral:rRNA from 1 species